GUUCCUAAAGAGAACAACAGUGCUCGAUGGAACUGAGGCAUUCUGGGCCCAGACCGUUGAUACCUAAAGAAGCUGAAAUUCAGAGAGGGUAAGUUACCUCCCCAAAGUCACACAGCCAUUAACGGGUAGAGCGGGGUUGGAACAGCAGCCUCCAGGUCCUUCCCUUGGUUUGGUGCAGGGCACACACAGAGGGCAGCAGAUACAGGGGGAGCUGGCAUGGCUGGUGCAGGCAGCUGGAAAGCUUUGUAUGCCACAAACAGAAAUUAUGAGUCUCCCCAGGGGCCAAGAGAAGGAGGCCGGGGCCUCCUGGACUCAUCCUCCUCUAUCCCAGCCUUGCCCUCCAGCCGGCGUGGCUGAGAAAUCACCAACAUCACACUUGAUGCCUGCUCCCUGCAGAUCAGCGCUUGUUUGCCAGGGCUGUGAAUACUGUGCCUUUGAUCUAUGUAAAUAACAAACUAAAAAGGCAGGUUCUGUCACCAUGCAACUCAGCCAUCCCCAUGCAAUUUCGCUGUCCCUUGGAGCGGGAGGCUUCCAGCUGAAAGAUAUUUAGAUCCUCAUGGAUUCUACUUGAGUCGCCAUCUAAACAGCAAACACCUUUGCAGCUGCAGAAAAUCUUCCCCCAUUUCAGAUGGGCGGCGAGCUGGCGGAGGUGGGCUUUGCGUGCUGUUAUUUUUAGAACACGGGGGAGGGCCUUAGAGAUUUGAGAGAGGUUUUUCAGGUGGGAUAUAAACUCAAAGAAUGGAAAGAGGCUGAAAGAGGUGGUGAUUCUCUAAUGGUGGAGCUUGAGAUGAAAGGCUGAAAUAUUUAUGUCCCCUUUUAAACCUGAGUUGUGUAAGGGUGAAAUUUAGAGUCUGUCUCCCAUUAUAUGGUUCACCUUAUGGUGGUCAGUCACAGGUGCUGGGAUGUGGUGCAAACACUUAGCUCUCUUGUUCACAAGAGUCCUCCCUGGAGUCUCCCUGAAUCCCUGAGCAGCAUGUCUGUGCUAAUUCACGCAAUUAGCGUAUCAGAAGCGGCCUAGGGGACACGGAGCUUUGAGUAUAUGGAAGGCCUGCUUUGUCUGUUUGUUUGUUUCCUGGCGGCGGCUGCAAAGUCAGAAAAGAUGUGGAAAUCCAUCCCUGAUGAAAGCUGGACUCGUAUAAAGACUAACAUCCUUUCCUAAACUAUUUGGAUUCCCUGAGGUACAGUUCGUACGGGAAAGGCAGGAUGAGGAAAUAGAGACUCAGAGAGGUCAAAUGACUCAUUGAAGUCGCUGAUUUAAGGGAAGGGGUGAUCCGGAUUCAGUCUAUCUGGCUACAUAGUCCUGCAAUUUUGUUUUUUUCUAGAGAAAACUUCCAGCUGCAGGUGGAUCAGUUUAAUUCCUGUUAUUUAUUGAGGGCCCACUACGUGCUGAGCUCUGUGCGAGCUCCUGUAAAAUGUCGUAACCAUUCUUUGUUCUCUUCUCCAUGGCUACACCACUUUCAUUUCUCCAGAAGUUCUAAUUCUGUCUAGUCUUUAAGGUUCAGCUUCAGACUGUUCCCUUCAGAAAGUGUCCCCUGACUAUACCUGGGAUUUGUUUUUUUCUGAACAUCUCUUGUGCUAGCCUUGAUUCCAGGAAAUAGUGUACAGGAGAGACUGAGGUGCAAAGUGGAUCUUUCCCCACCCCAGAAAUCAACAGCUAAAGUUUGUGGCUUAGAAAAAAAAACCACAAAGUCCUUACAUUUUAAAAAGACUAACCAGGAGGCAGGAUGACCGCUGCUGGCUGAGUCUCCUGGUUUAGAAAAUCAGUCCCACUCUGACCUCUUCCCCCUAGAAGAGGAAGAUUGGGAGAGGGAACAGCUGUUACUUCCCAUCCAAAGCCCCUGGAGGAGAUAAAGAAUUUUCUCUCCUUGACACAAGGCCCUAAGGAAAGGGUAGACUGAUAUUUUGCUUCCCCAUAAACUACCUGGUCUGGUUCUGAUAUAGCCGUGGAAGAGCAGAGGAAAGACAGGUGGUGGUUUGGUCCGACGAAAGGGGCAAGGACAGUCCAUCUACCACAGUCGGGUCUCAGAUGUGCUCUCGAACCUCUGAGUGGGGCCCAUAGAGAUUAGAUGCGAAUGGGGCCUCGCACAAUGAGGGGCAUCGGGGGAUGGAGCUGUGAGGCCAUGAUGGGGGAAUGUCAGCCAAUGAGGAGGCAGUCUCAUGGCACAGGGCAUCACCUGUAUAUAGGGGAGCUGCGGGGAAGACCCUCAUCUGCAGAGUUUAUGAGAGCCUCCCACCACCCAUAAGGAUCCCACAGACAGCAAAUCAGGUCAGUGGGGUCCUUAUGGGAGAGGACUGCCUCACUGUGAGCUGUCACACCCGGGGUCCGCCACCUCUUCCUUCCCUCCUCAUACCCCAGUAUUGGAGCAGUGGGAGAGAGAGGAGGAGGUGAGUGAGAGCAGACCUUGCCCCUUCCAGUUUCAAUGAGAGCCAGAUGCUUGAACUGGGCUAGAGAUAGCGGAGGGCAGGGAGUGACAGGGCCAGCGUAGGAAGAGAUUUGAAUCAAACGUAAGAAUAAGAAAAUAAUAAAUAGAAUUGAGUCCUAAAGAACCUGAACGAGUCUGUUCUAAUAACUAAAAGUGACUGAAAAGUUAUGGCCUCAGACUGAGUUUGUUAGGGCAGCCUGCUACCCAGCAGGAAAAAGAAGGGUUCAACCAAGCACAGUUGGUAGCAGUUAUUGGAAAAAUAAAAAAACGAUUCCAGGUUUAUACCCCAAUAAACCGAAACUCCACAGUAAAUCAGUUUCAUACUCAUCCAUUUAACUACUAUUUGCUGAGCUUCUCGUCUUUGCCAGACAAUGCUCUUGGCACUGGUGAUUCCAAGGAUUGAUUCCAAGGUGAGAAGACAGACAAAUAAAAAAAGACUGUUCCAUGUGAUAAAUGCUGUAAGGUAGGAUUCUAAGUGCAGUGGGGUGUGGAAGAGAGAGGGACUUAGUUAUGGUUGUGUGGGUCAGGGGAGGGGUUGGGAAGGUUUUCCGGGGUCUUGAAGAAUCAGUGGGAGUUGAUUAGGCAGAUGCAUUGGAGAAGCAUAUCCACGUUCGAGGGCACAGAAGCGUGAGAUAAUGGGGCACAUUAGGGGAACCCUGAGGAGUGCAUUUGAGCAAUGCAUAACAGGUGUUCAUGACCACCAUUUUGCUUCCUAUUAUCAAUUUGUUCUCUUUGCCAUACUGGACUGUAAGUGCCUUCAAAGAAGGGAAAUAUCAAAUCUCUAUUUUAAUCUCCUUGCUACAACCAGGAGAGGUUUGCACAUACAACACGGAACUGGUUUUCACUGAAGGCAAUCCAGCAGAAUUCGCAUGAUUCUCAGGGCUUGAGGAAUUCUGCAGUGGGUGGGAGAUAGAUAGGCCUGCAUGUGUCUUAGGGCACGUUAGUCCCCUGUCUAGGACUUAAUUUCUCCCUUUGUACAUAAUGAAGUUGACCAGUUAAUCUCUAGAGUUAGUUUGGAAAUAGCCUGAAUUUAGAAUUUGGGGGUCAAGAGCCGUGGAUUAGAAGUCAAGAGACUUCUAGUUCCCAGUCUCUGCCAUUGGCUGAGUGUAUGACCUGCUCUUUCCCUUAUAGCCUCAGUUUCCCUAUUUGUAAAAUGCAGGAGCAGCACACCAUAAAAGACUGACCUUCUAUGCCUUCCUCACUGAAUUCUGUUGACCUUGUCCUGGCCUCAUGUCCUUCCUCAGGAAGUCCUCACUUUUCUCAAUAUUCUUCAGACACAUUUUCAAACUCUAUGGGGUAAGGGAGGGAGAUUAGGGCCAGGAGAGGGUAUUUGAGUGAGGCAAUGAAUAUUUAUAACAGACGCUCCCACCAGAGGACACAUUAAGUCUUGCAGCAUAACAAAACUGAAUUACCAUGAAAUAAACUUUCUUAAUUAAACCAAUUAAAUUUCUUCCCAGUAUGUAAUUUAGAAACUCUGAUAAACCCUGGUUGAAAAGGUUUGUUUUAGCCUUAAGCUGGCUGAGAAAGCAGGAACAUCUGGUUGGUGGUGGAAAGGCCUGUUUAGGCUCCGGGCCAUGGGGGCAGCACCGUGGAGCUAUCCAUGGUGCUGAAAUAGCCUCUGCCUCGCGGCCCUGAUAAAGCACACAGGCCAGAGCCCAGUAGUGCUUAGGAGAUGCGCUGUUUCAGGACAGCAUCUUCCAUCCUAGGCAUGGUGCACUUUUCUGUUCAUAUGCUUGACAGCAGCCACUCAGAAGUUACCUAUGUAUUCGCUCCUUUCCCACAGAUCCUCGAGAGUUUGAAAAGUUAUUUUUCUUAUGUUUAUCAGAUUGUACACUCUCAAAGCUCGAAACAUGGACUGGUCCAACGUCCUCAUUGUAAAUAAAGGAAACUAGUCUUCAAGGAGUUAAAAUGACUGGACCCAAGGUUACACAACUUGGAAGUGACAAAACUGAGAUUCAAGCCCAAGUCUCUGAUGCUACCUUCAGUGCUCUUUUUACUAGGAUAUUCCUGUGGUCAGAGAAUGGGGGGCAGGGGCUAUGUCUUAUUCACCUGUCUUAGUGUCUGGAAUCUAUUUUAGUGUCUGGAAAAGUUUAGGAACAAGUGCAUACAUGCACGCUCUUUCUACUCCUCCCUAGUCAAAUACAUAGUAUCGCAACCAAACCAUAAUACCAGUUAUUCUCAAAUAAUUUUUUAUAUUUGUGAGGUUUUGACAGUUAACAAAGUGAUUUUUGACUUGUUUGCUUUGAUUAUCAUAGUAAUUCUGGAGGCAAUAAUACUUGUUCUUUUUUAUACCAAAGGAAACUGAGCCUCAUAGGUCUAGUGGCUCAUUCAAGGUGGCACAGAGGGUCAGGGAAGAAGAUAAGAGUUGGAUCCAGCUCUCCUGGUUUCUAGCCAUGAACCUAGGGCUGUACUUAGCACAUUGUGGGGGGAAAUAGAAGGGUAGUAUGUGGUUCUUGCUCUCAAACUACAGUCCAGUUGUGGAGAUAAGAUCUACCAUCUGAUGUGUGGAGGUAAGUUACAGGUACUGAGGAAAUAGGUAAUGGAUGAAGUGGUACGGCUAUGACUGCUCUGGAAAUUUAAGAGAGGAAGUGGCCCCAAAGGCCUGUGGGAGACUAGAGAAGUCCUCAGAGAACAGAUGGGGGCCAAACUGGCACUGGAGGGUGAAUGUAAUUGUGACGGGUAGAGAGAACAUCGUUCUCAUGAAACGAGGCAGUUUUAAUGCUGGACGAAACUCAGCGGUGAUCACUUCCUACCCCUCCUUUUAUAGACAGGGAGACUGAAAUAGAAGCGAGGGACUCGUUCAGUAUUAUAAAGCCAUUUAUGAAAGACCUUUAUGUGUAGUCCCUGUGGACAGAGGGCAGAUAAGACAGAGUCCAUGCCCUUAGAAGUUUCUCAGGCUAACGGAAGGAGGAACAUGGAAACAAGUAGGUGCAUUCUGGUGUCAUUGAAGGAAUGAUGGAGUCUCUGUGGGGGCUAGUGCGGUUGCUAAGGAGGGUGCACUGAUUCUAUAGAGUAGCCAGCACAUUUAAAGGUCAAAGGAAUUCAUGUGAACUAGUCAAGGUCGGUCAAGGUCAAGUAGCAGACGCCAAACUCUGUCUCUCAACUGCUGAAACCACUGGCUAGAAGGAAUUUCUGCCUAGUUGUAGCUUAAGCUGGAACAAUGGAGAGAAGCAGACACUGAUGCUGGAAUCUGAGAGGCUGUGUUCCAGUUCUGACUCUGUCUCUUUCUGACUGUGUGGCAUUGAGCUUGUUACUCCCACUUCUAGAAGCAUCAGUUUUUUUGUUAUAAAAUGGAGGGAGGGGCUACUUUGCCCCUUUAAAGGUUGUGGGAGGAUCAGAGAAAAUAUCCAAGUGUAAGUGUUUAGUUACUUAUAAAAUGAUAAAGCAAUAUACAUGUUAAUUGUUAUUAUUCCUUCGGUAUAGAGCUUGAUGUGGAAGAAAAAAUCCUGGGUUGUAGUCAUCACCUCUCUGGCCCCUGCUUUCUUGUCUGUGGAAUGAGAUUAUAACCUGUUCCAUCUACCUUAUAGAAAUGGUAUAAAGUGGAAAAUACCAAGAUAACAAAAUGAUAGGUGUAAACAAACAAAAAGUAUGACUGUAUUCCUGGAUGGGGAUCAGUGAUGGAAUAGAAAGCAAACUGGGCAUUGUUACUGUAAACUCACAUUUGUAUCUUCAAUCCAUUUACAAAGAGCAUUCACAGACAUUAUCCCAUCCAAUUCCCUCAAUAGCUCUGUGAGACGAGCCUGUAGGGAUGAGCCUAUCACAGAUUAUUAGCCUCAUCUCACCGGCGAGAAAACUGAGACUCAGAGGAAGUGAUGAGCCCAGAAGCUGAAUCUCAGCCUGGCCUGGCCUCAGAGUCACCUCCCCUCCUUCCUUUCCAACCACUCCCAAUUUCCUAGUGCCCAGAACUCUGUCUUCAUGUGAGUCAGUUUGAAAGACAGGCUAGUCUUGUUCUUUUAGACUUCCCCCUUGCCAUGGGGAACAGGCAAGAUUUUAUCCCCCAUUCAGCUAGCCCUGGGCGUGCUUGAUAAAAAUCUUUCCCAGAAAUUGGCUAGAGAUCUCACCUGUAUGGGGUACCCCUGCAAACUAAUAAACAGAGCCACCUGUACCUUCAUCUUUGUUCAAAGGAUUCCAGAUGGGAGAAUGACACAGCUGGCACCCUCCUUAGGAUGCUUUCAGCUUCUUAGGCUGUCUUAGCCAAGACAUGCUCUGCUUUGUUCCUGAUCUCAGCUGAGGGCUGUCCUCCCCGUUAUGUAGGCAGGAAGCUAGGGGUUAUUGUCCACUUCUUGUUCGUGCUCCUCUUUUGCUGAAAACUUCCAGUGGCUGGAUCAAGCCAGUCUCCAUGUGUGUUCCCUUCUUCAUAAAGAUCCUAAGAAAGGGAGAAGAGGAGAAUUAUUCCAUAUGGGGAUUUGGGGACAUAAUUGAAUCGUGUUUUGUUAGAAGGUUUACUGCAAAAAAAUCUCUUCCACACUGUGGCCAUGGAACUUUGGGAGGCUGUUAAGCUGGAGCCUUCGGUGAGGCCUGAGUAUACAGAAUCCAGGAAGUAGGGCUUCACUUAGUCUUCUUUCAUCAAGGACAGUAUCUGGGUGUGAAGCAUACAGAUCCAAUUGGGAGGGGAAGGGAUUUUCAGGACCAGAGUUGGUCCAGGCACAGGAAGCACUAAUACCUGCCUCUUGGGGAACAAUUAUUGACAGAUGAUUAUCUUUCAAGGGCAUGCCAGGCACCCUUUCUUUUAGGAUUCAUCCCUGAUCCCCCAUGUUGGCUGGGGGUUCCUCUCUGGGCUCCCUGAUCCCUGGGCUGCUCUCUGUCCCAGCCCUAAUCACAUUGUGCUGUUAGUAUCUGUGUUAAUGACUCUCUCCCUCCAUAGACCACGGGCUUCUCUGCUGCUGGUUCUAGUUCAGCUUCCAGCACAAGGUGGCAUACAGUGGGUUUAGCACUGUGGUUCAGAGCAUGGGCUCUGGAGCCAGCCUGCCUAUGUUUGAUUCCCAGGUUGACCACUCACGAGCCCAAAGACCCAGGGCCAGUCACUUAACCUCUCUGGGUCUUCGUUUCCUCAUCUGUAAAGUGGGAGUAAUAAUGGUAAUUACCUCACCGAAUUGUUACAAAAGUGAAGAAUGUAAACCAUUUCGAGCAAUGCCUGGCACAGAGUCCGUGCUCUGUAAGGGCCAGGUAUCUUUAUCUUGGGUAUUUUGGGUCUUCAUUUUGUAUAAAGCAGAUCUACCUGCAUUAGCAGGUGUGAUUUCAUCCUUCCCUUUCUCCGGUCUGGCUGUGGGAAAGAGUUCUAUGUGUCUAGGCCUGGAGGGCACAGCAGGCCAAGGAAGACUGCAUAGAAGGAUUUAUAAUUGUUUUUGCAAAAUUUGACCCUGAAUCAAGUCUCUGUGUUGUGUGACGUGAAGUGCAAUUAGACUGACUUGUCCGUUCUCUACCCCUAGUCUGCUCAUAUGACACCCAUCUUCUGGGUUCAGAGGGUGCCGAGAGGCCUUGGCUGGUUUGUGUUGAGUGGCCUGGAGGGCUGGGAGGGCAGCCAGUAGGGAAGGGUGAGAAGAAAGUACCAGAAUGCUUCCUUUUAGGGAGGUUAUGGGUAGCAUAGUCCUACUGGAUAUGUCUACAGAACACAUUGUCUGGUACUAUAUAAUGUUUGUUAAAUAAAGUAAAAUAUCUCCCCAAUCAAUCUGGUGAGAGAGGAGACCUGGAACGGCCUUUGGAGUCUGUCUUGGCCCUGCCAUUUACUGGUUGUAUGACUUUUGGGAAAUUCAUUUGCCAUUUAUUUUAUUUUUUGCUUUUUAGGGCCGCACCUGCAGUAUA